rnacentral:rRNA from 1 species
UGAAUACGAGACGCUAAGGCGUCGAAGUAGUGUAUGUCAUACUUCCAAGAAAAGCUUGCACUGUCAUAGAUAAAAAACGCCUGUACCAUAACCGACACAGGUGGGUAGGUAGAGUAUACUAAGGGGCGCGAGAUAACUCUCUCUAAGGAACUCGGCAAAAUAACUCCGUAACUUCGGGAGAAGGAGUGCCUUAUUAUUAAGGCUGCAAUAACAAGAUCCAAGCAACUGUUUAUCAAAAACACAGGUCUCCGCUAAGUCGUAAGACGAUGUAUGGGGGCUGACGCCUGCCCAGUGCCAGAAGGUUAAAGAAGUUGGUUAGCAUUUGCGAAGCUGAUAACUGAAGCCCUGGUGAACGGCGGCCGUAACAAUAACGGUCCUAAGGUAGCGAAAUUCCUUGUCGGGUAAGUUCCGACCCGCACGAAAGGCGUAAUGAUUUGGAUACUGUCUCGGAGAGGGGCUCGGUGAAAUAGACUUGUCUGUGAAGAUGCGGACUACCUGCACCAGGACAGAAAGACUCUAUGAAGCUUUACUGUAACUUGAAAUUGAAAUUGGACUUUAUUCGCGCAGCAUAGGUGGGAGGCGUUGAUUAUAAUCUUGUGGGAUUAUUGGAGCCAUCAGUGAGAUACCACUCUUGUAAUGUUAGAUUUCUAACUUUGAAUCAUUAUCUGGUCAAAGAACAGUUUCAGGCGGGCAGUUUGACUGGGGCGGUCGCCUCCUAAACGGUAACGGAGGCGUACAAAGGUUUCCUCUGAACGGUUAGAAAUCGUAUCUAGAGUGUAAAGGCAUAAGGAAGCUUGACUGUGAGACCUACAAGUCGAGCAGGGACGAAAGUCGGUCUUAGUGAUCUGACGGUACUGAGUGGAAAGGCCGUCACUCAACGGAUAAAAGUUACUCUAGGAUAACAGGCUGAUCUCCCCCAAGAGUUCACACCGACGGGGAGGUUUGGCACCUCGAUGUCGGCUCAUCGCAUCCUGGGGCGGUAGUACGUCCCAAGGGUUGGGCUGUUCGCCCAUGAAAGCGGUACGCGAGCUGGGUUCAGAACGUCGUGAGACAGUUCGGUCCAUAUCCGGUGUAGGCGUUAGAAUAUUGAGAGGAGCCUUCUUUAGUACGAGAGGACCGAGAAGGACAUACCUCUGGUGUACCAGUUAUCGUGCCAACGGUAAACGCUGGGUAGCUAUGUAUGGAGUGGAUAACCGCUGAAAGCAUCUAAGUGGGAAGCCCACCUCAAGAUAAG